rnacentral:rRNA from 1 species
GCCGGUGGCCUAACCCUUGUGGAGGGAGCCGUCGAAGGUGGGAUUGGCGAUUGGGACGAAGUCGUAACAAGGUAGCCGUACCGGAAGGUGCGGCUGGAUCACCUCCUUUCUAAGGAG